rnacentral:rRNA from 1 species
UGGGGAAUAUUGCACAAUGGGGGGAACCCUGAUGCAGCGACGCCGCGUGCGGGAUGACGGCCUUCGGGUUGUAAACCGCUUUCAGCAGGGACGAAUCUGACGGUACCUGCAGAAGAAGCGCCGGCUAACUACGUGCCAGCAGCCGCGGUAAUACGUAGGGCGCAAGCGUUGUCCGGAAUUAUUGGGCGUAAAGAGCUCGUAGGCGGCUUGUCGCGUCGGACGUGAAAGCUCGAGGCUUAACCUCGGGUCUGCGUUCGAUACGGGCAGGCUAGAGGCAGGUAGGGGAGAACGGAAUUCCCGGUGUAGCGGUGAAAUGCGCAGAUAUCGGGAGGAACACCGGUGGCGAAGGCGGUUCUCUGGGCCUGUACUGACGCUGAGGAGCGAAAGCGUGGGGAGCGAACAG